UAUGUUGGGGAUGUCAGCACCCAGGGCACCCGCCUGCAGGUUGGCAGCCCAGCCAUCCCCUGCCCUGGAGGGUUGUGCGUUCGAAAGAGUUCACUUCCAGCCAAGCAUUUCAAUGGAGCAACCUCCGCUCUCCGACCCGCUUCGGCUUCAAAGCUUUCCACUCUCUGGGCUCAGGGCUGAAAUCCGACAGUGUCAGCACAGACCUGGCUUGGAGCUCUUAGUAUCUUAGAGCUGAGAGUCUUCUUCCCAUCCUCCCCACCCCCAGCUCAUCCUGCCUGCGGCUCCCUCCCUCCUGGGAAGACCCUUCCAGCCGGCAGAUCCCUCCCCAUCCCGCCGCACAUGCAUGCAGCAAACUGGAGUUACCAGCUCCAGCCUGCCGCAGCAUUUGCUGCCGCUUAGGAAAAAACCUCAUUUACUCAAUUGAAGCUUCUCUGUUGAUUUAAUUAAUGCAAAUUGAGACAUGUGUUAAAACCUCCUUGUAAUUACCGUAACACUGUCAUGGGUUUUUUUUUUUCCCUUUUUCUUGUAUUGUUAAGGAAAAUAGUAAGGCCUGGAUUCACAACAGCUUCCGAAGGUCCACAGCCCUGCAAGCUGAGCACAGUGUGUGCAGUGAGAACCGCACGAGCUCUAGUAGAGGAGCUCAGUGUCUGGCCGUGGGCUGCGAUACCAGCCCCGAAGACCGGCGAGGGCUGACCCCGCUCCCAACCCAAACCCGGGCAGCACCCUCUUGAGCAGAGUUCCUUAGAUUCCUUUGAUUGCUUCCAGGCCGUCUUGAGCGGAAAACCCCAGAUGCUCGCAGUCAGGAGAGAUUCAGCUCAACUUUGCCAUCUUCCCAAGCACCAGUUCCUCCCACGCUGGGUUACAGGGCAGGACCAGGGCUCUGCCGGGCAGACAGACCCUUCGGAUCCGGCGCAGGGCACGUGCUUGCCGGCUUCGAGGUGCGAUGCUGCAGGGCUGGGCUGCAGGCGUGAUGCUUGCUGAGUUCCCUGGCCUUCAAAACACAAUGCCGCAGGCCAAGAGGGUUCCUGUUCUCUCAGCCAGCAGCAUUGAGGGUAUUUUGAGAGCACAACUGUUUUUUUGACAGUUUUCACUCUGCAGCAGAAGCCUCAUUUCAGGCUGGAGCAGUCUGUUGCUGACCCUAGAGAUGAUUCCUGAAUAAACAGGGGAAAAAAGGGCUGAGAAGGGAAACGGAGGUGCUGGAGGAGAGAAAGGGCUGUGUGAGGUCUCUCCAGUUCCAGGCUAUUCUGAAAAAGCCCCUGAAACAGAUUGGAGGGAUCGGGUUUGGUCAAUAUCCAGAUUUCCUCCAUUUUAGGAAGGACAGGCUGACCUCAGCCCUGUGGAUGCCAGCUCGUGCUUCGCACCCCAGCGUGGUGGUGGGGGAGAGUGGGGGGGGGCUGGGCGAGGCGGGGACCCCAAAUGUCCCACGUCCUCCUUUUUAACUCUUUGGCUUACGUCUUCACCCCGGACCGGGGUGCGUGUAGGUGCUGAGACUAUCAGCACCCCUCUCCGGGUGACAUGGUGGCACCGGACCCCCCCAACCCACCAGCUUCAGGCUGCCUUCACCUCCUCGCGUUGAUAGCGACUCUCUAACGACAUUCAUCAUGCAAGGCCUGGGUUGGGAUUUUUGUGGGGGGUUUGUUUUUUUUUUUUUUAUUAAAACGAAGCACUUAAUGUUGGCAAUCGCAACAUAAGGGUGUCUCUCUGGGUAUUGAUUUUAGUGUACAGCAGCAGUUUGCUGGUUUAUUGCAUAAAAGACAGAGAUGUGUCUUUCCUCCAGAAAGGCUGGCUUUGUUUGCCUGUUCUCACAGCUGCAGUGGAUGUGUUUGGUCUUU